rnacentral:rRNA from 1 species
GAGAGUUAAACAGUACGUGAAAUUGUUGAAAGGGAAACGAUUGAAGCCAGUCGUACCUUCGGGUAAUCAGCCUUUUGGGUGUGAUUUUGUGGAGCGUGAAGAGUUAAACGCCUUCAUGCCUGCAUAUUCGUGCACUUUGGGUGUACUUGCCCGUAUGGUUGGUUAACAUCAAUUUUGGUGGUCAUAAAAUGACUGGAGGAAUGUAGCUUCGAUCUCGUAUUGAAGUGUUAUAGCCUUCGGUAGAUGUGAUGAUCGAGAUUGAGGAUUGCAACGGAUACCCUUCGGGGCUACCUGUCUGAUCUCUGAUCGUUGUUCUGGUGCCGAAAGCUUGCUUACGGUUAUCAAAGUCGAUGGUCAAUAGGUUAGAACGGGUUAAAUUCGUUAAGGAUGUUGACGUAAUGGCUUUAAACGA